AGAGUUUGAUCCUGGCUUAGGAUGAACGCUAGCUACAGGCUUAACACAUGCAAGUCGAGGGGCAGCAUUGGGGUAGCAAUACUCAGAUGGCGACCGGCGCACGGGUGAGUAACACGUAUCCAACCUGCCGCUUACUCGGGGAUAGCCUUUCGAAAGAAAGAUUAAUACCCGAUGGUAUAAAGAGUUCGCAUGUUCUCUUUAUUAAAGAAUUUCGGUAAGCGAUGGGGAUGCGUUCCAUUAGAUAGUUGGCGGGGUAACGGCCCACCAAGUCUACGAUGGAUAGGGGUUCUGAGAGGAAGGUCCCCCACAUUGGAACUGAGACACGGUCCAAACUCCUACGGGAGGCAGCAGUGAGGAAUAUUGGUCAAUGGACGAGAGUCUGAACCAGCCAAGUAAGCGUGGAGGAUGACUGCCCUAUGGGUUGUAAACUUCUUUUAUAAGGGAAUAAAGUGAGGGACGUGUCCCUUUUUGUAUGUACCUUAUGAAUAAGGAUCGGCUAACUCCGUGCCAGCAGCGGC
rnacentral:rRNA from 1 species